rnacentral:lncRNA from 12 species
UAAAACCACAGGACUGAGUGGGUGAGAGUUACCAACACAAACCUUCCAUUUUUCCUCUCUUCUCCCAACCCUACCCCAACCAAAUGCCUUCUUCUUCCCCCAGUUAAUAGAAAUAAAUCUCCCUGCAGUAGCCUGGGUGUGAACAGAUGUUCCUUGUGGACGUGAGUGCUGGUGGAGGGCUCGUUGGCUCUCCAGCCCAACACCCUCAGGGUGCUGCUCGGACAGUUCCAUUACCCUCAGAAACAAGAUGAACUCCUCCCUGAGUUAUUGAUUCUCUCCUUCAGAGAGUCCCAACAACUUGAUUCUCUCCUCAUGUCUUUGUUUUCACUCAUUUCCUUUCCAUGUUCCUUUGCCAGAGAUCUGGGAUGGAUUACAAGGCCUCCUUGAAGAUGUACUUGACUGAAGGAACACAGCGACAGGGAAGAGCAGUUUCAUGGUUUUUUUAUGCCAUGCAGUACUGUAUCUGGUAAACUCGAGUCUACAAAGCCCACAGAAAGUAAGGGAAUUCUGAACUAGAAGAGGAUGAACUGGAAGCAGAUGUUUCUCCAUCAGAGGGCAGGGAGGCUGGAUGACACUUCCAGAGACUGUAGGGUGAAGACUGUCACCAGGUGGGCAAGAGUCACUCUGACCAUUCUCUCCUUUGAAAUUCCUCACUGUUCACUGCAUUUGCUCCUUGCUGGGCAACCCCCUUAGCCAGGACAGAUGUUUACUGAGUGUGCACUCUGGGCAAGGUAUGGUAAUGGGUGAGUGGUUUGGGUCCAGACUCCAGCUUCUUACUAGACAUGUGGCCUGGGGAAAUUACCUAAAUUGUCUGUGCCUCAGUUUCCUCAUUUAUAAAAUGGGAGCACUAACACCUUCUUAGUAAUGGUGUUGUGGGGCUAACAUGAAAUAAUGUUGAUGGGAUCUAUAGCACACAGUAUUGUCAGCCUACAGUUAUUGGACAGUUUUGUCUCUUUCUUAUAUAGUUUUUUCCCCCUCUUUUUAAAUCUUUAUUUGAACUGUCCUUUUGCAGAUUGUAACUCCUAACUGACCUCACCCCUGUGUCUUACUCCUCAAACCAUACCCUAUUUUGGACACAGAAUUCUUUUUUCCA